AUACUUUCCUGGUUCAUAAGCAUGAUGAUUGGGUUGUCAUGCUCUUGGAUGAUGUUACCUCCCUUGAAUGUUGUUUCCACACGGGCACAUUACUCG
ensembl:snoRNA